UAUAUAUAACGUACUUUGUAUCUUAAAGUUGCCUAAUUUACGUUAAAAUAAAAGUUAAAUUGUUUUCAGUGAAAGUUAAAUUUCUAGGUUAAAAGUUUUAUUCGUUUUCUUUGAGUGUAGAUUUAAAAGUUCAACUUUUUGAUUAGAAAACUGUUGAAUUGUCAAUGCGCCCAGUAUCGUUUGAAGUCGAUGACAAACAACAACAAUAUAAGUUGUCAACUCAUUUUUAUUUUUGUCUUAUUCACGCACGAGUUUGAAGGAAAUUUUGAUUUAUCUGCGAAGUGCUUGCAGUAAGAAUCCUGACUGCAAGAUAUUCGGCUCCUGAAUCCCGUUGGCUGUUGAUACAAAAUUCUGUGCGACGUUGCGAUAAGGAAAAGCAACGCCCACUCUACGGCCAUGGCGGAAACAACCAAAAAAACACCAAGGAGAGAUCAGGAAAAAGAUAAUCCAAAUAAGCCGAACUCGAUUUACGCUAUUGACACGGAUUUGAUCGCUAUGUAAACACUAUGAUAAAUACGACAUUUUGAGGACAUCCACAUUUUGAAAUCCAGCUUUUGAUUCAACGCAAAUCAAAUAAUGAAUGUAGUUCAAAAUAAAUAUAUAAUAACAUAAAACCUGAAAUCGACUCAAUAAAAUUUUAAAAGAAAGCAUGAAUAGAGAAAUGGGAAAAAGUUUCUUGGGGAAACUAAACCUUCGUUUCAAAUUGAAAAUACUAAACUUUUUUUUCUACAUUUUGGCAGACAGUUCCACAAUAUUGUUUUGAAAGUUUUGUACUUUUAUUUUCAGAGCCUCAUGUCACUUUUGAAAUCUAGGUGUAACAAAAGUUUUCGUACUUUUUUUCUAAACAUACGGAACUCUCUACGAAAAAGAACCAACGCAACUUUUUAAUUUAACCAACGUUUCUU